rnacentral:tRNA from 1 species
CUAGUAAUUAUAGUAGCUAUUAUUAGCCUUAUUAAGAAACUACUACUUAUUAUAAUUUAAAUUAAUA